AUUGAACGCUGGCGGCAUGCUUUACACAUGCAAGUCGAACGGUAACGGGCCUUCGGGUGCCGACGAGUGGCGAACGGGUGAGUAAUGCAUCGGAACGUACCUUUCAGUGGGGGAUAACGUAGCGAAAGUUACGCUAAUACCGCAUAUUCUGUGAGCAGGAAAGCAGGGGAUCGCAAGACCUUGCGCUGAUUGAGCGGCCGAUGUCAGAUUAGCUAGUUGGUGAGGUAAAGGCUCACCAAGGCGACGAUCUGUAGCGGGUCUGAGAGGAUGAUCCGCCACACUGGAACUGAGACACGGUCCAGACUCCUACGGGAGGCAGCAGUGGGGAAUUUUGGACAAUGGGGGCAACCCUGAUCCAGCCAUGCCGCGUGAGUGAAGAAGGCCU
rnacentral:rRNA from 1 species